GCCUGGGUGGCUUGGUCAGUUGAGCGUCUGGCUUUGGCUCAGGUCACGAUCUCAUGGUUCGUGGGUUCAAGCCCCACGUCGGGCU
rfam:Felis catus isolate Cinnamon breed Abyssinian chromosome B2, whole genome shotgun sequence.